UACGUAGGGGGCAAGCGUUGUCCGGAUUUAUUGGGCGUAAAGAGCGUGUAGGCGGCCAAGCAGGUCCGCUGUGAAAACUCGAGGCUCAACCUCGAGACGUCGGUGGAAACCGUUUGGCUAGAGUCCGGAAGAGGGGAGUGGAAUUCCCGGUGUAGCGGUGAAAUGCGCAGAUAUCGGGAAGAACACCCGUGGCGAAGGCGGCUCUCUGGGACGGUACUGACGCUGAGACGCGAAAGCGUGGGGAGCGAACAGG
rnacentral:rRNA from 1 species